AUUGAACGCUGGCGGAAUGCUUUACACAUGCAAGUCGAACGGUAGAGGGGGCAACCCCUUGAGAGUGGCGAACGGGUGAGUAAUAUAUCGGAACGUGCCCAGUCGUGGGGAUAACGUAGCGAAAGUUACGCUAAUACCGCAUACGAUCUACGGAUGAAAGCGGGGGACUCGCAAGAGCCUCGCGCGAUUGGAGCGGCCGAUAUCAGAUUAGGUAGUUGGUGGGGUAAAGGCUCACCAAGCCAACGAUCUGUAGACUGGUCUGAGAGGACGACCAGCCACACUGGAACUGAGACACGGUCCAGACUCCUACGGGAGGCAGCAGUGGGGAAUUUUGGACAAUGGACGCAAGUCUGAUCCAGCCAUUCCGCGUGCAGGAUGAAGGCCCUCGGGUUGUAAACU
rnacentral:rRNA from 1 species